GGUUGUUUGGCCGAGCGGUCUAAGGCGCCUGAUUCAAGGACUAUUAAUCUUUGACUAUGGAAAACCAUAGGAGUACUCAGGUAUCGUAAGAUGCAAGAGUUCGAAUCUCUUAGCAACCA
rnacentral:tRNA from 1 species